UAGGUGACCUGCGGAAGAUC
rnacentral:rRNA from 1 species